rnacentral:rRNA from 1 species
AUGGAGUACAACCAACGUAUAAUCUUCUGGAACGUGCGGGGCCUCAACUGUCCCGCUAAGCGCAGCGCCGUGUGCUCUGUCAUUGCCUCCGCGAACCCCUCUAUUGUUUUCCUUCAAGAAACAAAACUUGCUGCCGUCUCGCCGCCUCUUGUUACCGAGACUCUUGGUGCGCCCUUCGCGGAUUUCUUCUUCCUGCCGGCGGCGGAGACACGCAGGGGCAUCCUGCUGGCCUGGCGCAGCGACAUGGUCACUCUGUCCCACCCUACCGUCGGCGCCCACUUCAUUAACGCGCUGGUUAGCCCAUGUGAUGGCGGCCCACAUUGGUGGGUGACUGGCGUCUACGGACCCCUUUCGUCGCAUCUUCGCACGCCUUCGCUCCACGGCAAAGCAUCUUCAGCGGUGGAGUUCCAAGCUCGUGGGAAACAUCUCACUUCAGCUCAGCGUCGUCCGUGA